AUCGAUGAAGAACGCAGCGAAAUGCGAUAACUAAUGUGAAUUGCAGAAUUCAGUGAAUCAUCGAGUCUUUGAACGCACAUUGCGCCCCCUGGUAUUCCGGGGGGCAUGCCUGUCCGAGCGUCAUUGCUGCCCUCAAGCACGGCUUGUGUGUUGGGCUCCGUCCCCCCGGGGACGGGCCCGAAAGGCAGCGGCGGCACCGAGUCCGGUCCUCGAGCGUAUGGGGCUUUGUCACCCGCUCUGUAGGCCCGGCCGGCGCCAGCCGACAACCCAUCAUCCUUUUCAGGUUGACCUCGGAUCAGGUAGGGAUACCCGCUGAACUUAAGCAUAUCAAUAAGCGGAGGAAAAGAAACCAACAGGGAUUGCCUCAGUAACGGCGAGUGAAGCGGCAAGAGCUCAAAUUUGAAAGCUGGCUCCUUCGGGGUCCGCAUUGUAAUUUGCAGAGGAUGCUUCGGGAGCAGCCCCCAUCUAAGUGCCCUGGAACGGGCCGUCAUAGAGGGUGAAAAUCCCGUAUGGGAUGGGGUGUCUGCGCCCAUGUGAAGCUCCUUCGACGAGUCGAGUUGUUUGGGAAUGCAGCUCUAAAUGGGUGGUAAAUUUCAUCUAAAGCUAAAUAUUGGCCGGAGACCGAUAGCGCACAAGUAGAGUGAUCGAAAGAUGAAAAGCACUUUGAAAAGAGAGUUAAAAAGCACGUGAAAUUGUUGAAAGGGAAGCGCUUGCGAUCAGACUCGCCUUGGGGGUUCAGCCGGCAUUCGUGCCGGUGUACUUCCCCCAGGGCGGGCCAGCGUCGGUUUGGGUGGCCGGUCAAAGGCCCUUGGAAUGUAACGCCUCUCGGGGCGUCUUAUAGCCAAGGGUGCCAUGCGGCCUACCUGGACCGAGGAACGCGCUUCGGCUCGGACGCUGGCAUAAUGGUCGUAAGCGACCCGUCUUGAAACACGG
rnacentral:rRNA from 1 species